CGGCAGGCCUAAUACAUGCAAGUCGAACGGCAGCACAGUGAGCUUGCUCCAUGGGUGGCGAGUGGCGGACGGGUGAGGAAUACGAUGGGAAUCUGCCCAGUCGUGGGGGAUAACGUAUGGAAACGUACGCUAAUACCGCAUGCGCCCUUCGGGGGAAAUCGGGGACCGCAAGGCCUGACGCGAUUGGAUGAGCCCAUGUUCGAUUAGCUAGUUGGCGGGGUAGCGGCCCACCAAGGCGACGAUCGAUAGCUGGUCUGAGAGGAUGAUCAGCCACACUGGAACUGAGACACGGUCCAGACUCCUACGGGAGGCAGCAGUAGGGAAUAUUGGACAAUGGGCGCAAGCCUGAUCCAGCCAUGCCGCGUGAGUGAAGAAGGCCCUCGGGCUGUAAAGCUCUUUUGUUGGGGAAGAAAAGCAGUUGGUUAAUACCCGAUUGUUCUGACGGUACCCAAAGAAUAAGCACCGGCUAACUUCGUG
rnacentral:rRNA from 1 species